CAGCGGAAGGUCCAACAAAGAAGGCUC
rnacentral:sRNA from 1 species